rnacentral:rRNA from 1 species
GCGAGGCCGAAAGGCGUAGUCGAUGGGAAACAGGUUAAUAUUCCUGUACUUGGUGUUACUGCGAAGGGGGGACGGAGAAGGCUAUGUUAGCCGGGCGACGGUUGUCCCGGUUUAAGCAUGUAGGCUGGUUAUCCAGGCAAAUCCGGAUAAUCAAGGCUGAGGUGUGAUGACGAGGCACUACGGUGCUGAAGUAACAAAUGCCCUGCUUCCAGGAAAAGCCUCUAAGCAUCAGGUAACA